rnacentral:rRNA from 1 species
CUCAAAUGAAUUGACGGGGGCCCGCACAAGCGGUGGAGCAUGUGGUUUAAUUCGAUGCAACGCGAAGAACCUUACCUGGUCUUGACAUCCACGGAAGUUUUCAGAGAUGAAAAGGUGCCUUCGGGAACCGUGAGACAGGUGCUGCAUGGCUGUCGUCAGCUCGUGUUGUGAAAUGUUGGGUUAAGUCCCGCAACGAGCGCAACCCUUAUCCUUUGUUGCCAGCGGUCCGGCCGGGAACUCAAAGGAGACUGCCAGUGAUAAACUGGAGGAAGGUGGGGAUGACGUCAAGUCAUCAUGGCCCUUACGACCAGGGCUACACACGUGCUACAAUGGCGCAUACAAAGAGAAGCGACCUCGCGAGAGCAAGCGGACCUCAUAAAGUGCGUCGUAGUCCGGAUUGGAGUCUGCAACUCGAC